AGCUUUCUGGCCAUAACAUGUCUCAUUAACUUCCCAUAGUUUUUGGAAACUCUUCUCUUAGAUGGCAAAACUGACUUUAAAGUGGCAUAUAACUGUGCUGAUUUAUUCUGUUUGCUUCUUUGUUUAUUCUAAUUGAAAGAAAUACGCAGAGAUAUUCUUGCUUAAUGCUGAGUCCUUCAAUUCUUCAGUGGAUCUGUGAACUUACUAAGACUGGUGCUCUCUCCAGUAAUGCAGAUUGUCACCCAUUCACAUGUUGUCACCCCAUGUAUUCUCCUGUGAAUCCUUCAUAGAGUUUCCAUCCAAUGUGAUAGAUGAUGCCAUCAAAGACUUCAAGGAAAUUUUAUCGCCUGCAGAAUGAAAUUGGUGAUGAGCACGCCUGAGCCAUAAUAAAGAAGUGAUUCCCCCCCCCCCACU